UCCGUUGUGGUCUAGGGGCUAGGAUUUGCCGCUCUCAGUAUAACACAGGAGCAUUCCUCGCUUUCAAGCGCCGGCAAGGCCCGGGUUCGAUUCCCGGCGACGGAA
rnacentral:tRNA from 1 species